rnacentral:rRNA from 1 species
CAGUCGAGCGCCCCGCAAGGGGAGCGGCAGACGGGUGAGUAACGCGUGGGAAUCUACCGUACCCUACGGAAUAGCUCCGGGAAACUGGAAUUAAUACCGUAUACGCCCUUCGGGGGAAAGAUUUAUCGGGGUAUGAUGAGCCCGCGUUGGAUUAGCUAGUUGGUGGGGUAAAGGCCUACCAAGGCGACGAUCCAUAGCUGGUCUGAGAGGAUGAUCAGCCACAUUGGGACUGAGACACGGCCCAAACUCCUACGGGAGGCAGCAGUGGGGAAUAUUGGACAAUGGGCGCAAGCCUGAUCCAGCCAUGCCGCGUGAGUGAUGAAGGCCCUAGGGUUGUAAAGCUCUUUCACCGGUGAAGAUAAUGACGGUAACCGGAGAAGAAGCCCCGGCUAACUUCGUGCCAGCACCG